CCAUCAGGGGUUAGUAUCAGCUAUGACAUAUUAUAAUUUAGCCAUGUAUUUACCUUUCUUUUUUAACCGAUGUUCGGUAUUUAUUUUGAUGAUCUCGUCUAGUUCAGAUUCGUAUUUUGUAUGGUUGUAUGGAAAGUGCUUCCUAUCUAAAUUUUGUAGGUGAAGGGUCCAUACUAGCUCAAUAUCAAGUUGACUUGAUUUGUUUCACUUCUUGUUUUUCUUUUGUUCCCCCUGUAUUGUAUGGCAUAUUUUGUAGUAGAAAAGAUUCCCAAAAAAGUAAAUAAACACCUUCAAGGGAAAAGUUCUAGCUA